GGUCAGCUGACACAUCCCUGCCAAUCUCCGGCAGACCCUCCCUCCCAGACCCUCCUACUUCCUGGACAGCAUCCAUGUUGAAGGCAGCUUCAACAUGGAUGCUGUCCAGGAGGUGGGAGGGUCUGGGAGGGAGGGUCUGCUGGAGAUUGGCAGGGAUGUGUCAGCUG